CGUGUGCGUGUGUACGCAACCGCUGGUACGUGUGCGUGUGUACGCAACCGUUGGUGCGUGUGCCCGUUGGUGCGUGUGCGUGUGUACGCAGCCGUUGGUGCGUAUGUGCUGCCUCACCACGUCAUUUAAAUCCGAGUUGACCCCUAAACGCACAGAGCUGCUCCCCAUCACGGCACCACGAGUAUUAGUGGAUACUGUUUAUUGGUGGAGUAGAAGGUCAAGCUUGGCCUAACUAGUAACUAGUAACUAGUAACUCAAAGUGUCAAAUAAAUGAUGAGAGAGACAAAUAUUUCUAGAAGCAUAAAUCCCCAUAAAAAGAAAAUACUUCAGUGAAAUAGGCUGUAAGCCUAAAAAUGAUACCUGAGUAAAUGUUCUCAGUAAUAUUGCAGCACUUUUAGUUAAUAAAACGUCAUUUUAGUACAUUUAAAACUAACCAAACCUUUUUCUAGAGACUUUUUAAGUGACGUUGUGUAUCGUUUGUGUUUCCGCCUUCACACUCAGAGUCCAACAUAGAAGAGCGAGAGCAGAAUGUAUUGUGAGUUACUUGUGAAGGACAUUGGACCCCCCAGACCACCGGACCGCCCUUUCAAACCAUUCAGCGCUGAGAUACCUCGAUUCAUCCAAAGCAUAUAGAAUAGCAUUAUUUUUAUAUUUUGAUUCUUUUCUUUUUCUACCAACGGAAUUUAUAUUUGAGAUAUUUGUAUAUUUUUUGUGUAAAUUCACAAAAAGCCACAUUGCAUGUGUUGAAAUGUGGAAUUCUAUAUGCAAGAACCAUGAAGUGUUUCCUUUUGUGGGACGUCCCGUCCUUGAAAAAGACCAUUUUAUUAGUGCUGCAUCACACAAUCAGGUAUUUACUUCAUACUUGAAAUGACUUGACGUGUGUGGUGAUCCACACAUCGACCCCCCUCUUUAUAACGGGAAGGAACAUAGUUGGCUGUUGAAGUACUUUGACUUCCUCGUUCCGUUUGGGGGCCGAUGAACAGCCAAUCCGCUCGCAGUAACUCGUGCACGUGGUUUGGCACGUCGUCAUUUCCAGCAACGAUAAAUAUUGUUUUUUAAACAAUAUUUACGAUACGACAAGAAUUCUUCCUGUUAGCAUUCCAAAAAAGGAAGCGUGGCGCCGCCCGCUGUGCUUCGUCUGUGCCUUCAGUUUGUGGCGUCUUCGUUUUGUCUCCUGGUUAAAGAAUCGAUCCGUCAGCACACGUCGCUCUAUUUUAAAUCUAUUGAUAUGUUUCACUGUUGAACUUUGAAUCUAUGAAGAUUAGAUUUCAUAAAUUAGAUGUACUUGAAUUGAGAUGCCAUUAAAGAUAUUUGACAAAUACCA
ensembl:lncRNA